AACGAACGCUGGCGGCAGGCCUAACACAUGCAAGUCGAGCGCGCCCUUCGGGGUGAGCGGCGGACGGGUGAGUAACGCGUGGGAACGUGCCCUUCUCUGCGGAAUAGCCUCGGGAAACUGAGAGUAAUACCGCAUACGCCCUUUGGGGGAAAGAUUUAUCGGAGAAGGAUCGGCCCGCGUUGGAUUAGGUAGUUGGUGGGGUAAUGGCCCACCAAGCCGACGAUCCAUAGCUGGUUUGAGAGGAUGAUCAGCCACACUGGGACUGAGACCCGGCCCAGACUCCUAGGGGAGGCAGGAGGGGGGAACUUGAAAAAAUGGGGGCAACCCGAAGCUGGCCUGGCCGGGGGGGGGAUGAAGGCCUUGGGGUUGAAAAGCUCUUUCAGCGGGGAAGAUAAGAAGGGACCCAGCAAAAAAAGCCCGGGCAACCUCCGG
rnacentral:rRNA from 1 species